AUACCACUUGUUGCCUCGGCGGAUCAGCCCGCUCCCGGUAAAACGGGACGGCCCGCCAGAGGACCCCUAAAACUCUGUUUCUAUAUGUAACUUCUGAGUAAAACCAUAAAUAAAUCAAAACUUUCAACAACGGAUCUCUUGGUUCUGGCAUCGAUGAAGAACGCAGCAAAAUGCGAUAAGUAAUGUGAAUUGCAGAAUUCAGUGAAUCAUCGAAUCUUUGAACGCACAUUGCGCCCGCCAGUAUUCUGGCGGGCAUGCCUGUUCGAGCGUCAUUUCAACCCUCAAGCACAGCUUGGUGUUGGGACUCGCGUUAAUUCGCGUUCCUCAAAUUGAUUGGCGGUCACGUCGAGCUUCCAUAGCGUAGUAGUAAAACCCUCGUUACUGGUAAUCGUCGCGGCCACGCCGUUAAACCCCAACUUCUGAAUGUUGACCUCGGAUCAGGUAGGAAUACCCGCUGAACUUAAGCAUAUCAA
rnacentral:rRNA from 1 species